rnacentral:rRNA from 1 species
ACGAACGCUGGCGGCACGCUUAACACAUGCAAGUCGAACGAGAGAAGAGAAGCUUGCUUUUCUGAUCUAGUGGCGGACGGGUGAGUAACACGUGAGCAAUCUGCCUUUCAGAGGGGGAUACCGAUUGGAAACGAUCGUUAAUACCGCAUAACAUAAUUGAACCGCAUGAUUUGAUUAUCAAAGAUUUAUCGCUGAAAGAUGAGCUCGCGUCUGAUUAGCUAGUUGGUAAGGUAACGGCUUACCAAGGCGACGAUCAGUAGCCGGACUGAGAGGUUGAUCGGCCACAUUGGGACUGAGACACGGCCCAGACUCCUACGGGAGGCAGCAGUGGGGAAUAUUGCACAAUGGAGGAAACUCUGAUGCAGCGAUGCCGCGUGAGGGAAGAAGGUUUUAGGAUUGUAAACCUCUGUCUUCAGGGACGAAAAAAGACGGUACCUGAGGAGGAAGCUCCGGCUAACUACGUGCCAGCAGCCGCGGUAAUACGUAGGGAGCGAGCGUUGUCCGGAAUUACUGGGUGUAAAGGGAGCGUAGGCGGGAUCGCAAGUCAGAUGUGAAAACUAUGGGCUUAACCCAUAAACUGCAUUUGAAACUGUGGUUCUUGAGUGAAGUAGAGGUAAGCGGAAUUCCUAGUGUAGCGGUGAAAUGCGUAGAUAUUAGGAGGAACAUCAGUGGCGAAGGCGGCUUACUGGGCUUUAACUGACGCUGAGGCUCGAAAGCGUGGGGAGCAAACAGGAUUAGAUACCCUGGUAGUCCACGCCGUAAACGAUGAUUACUAGGUGUGGGGGGACUGACCCCUUCCGUGCCGCAGCAAACGCAAUAAGUAAUCCACCUGGGGAGUACGACCGCAAGGUUGAAACUCAAAGGAAUUGACGGGGGCCCGCACAAGCGGUGGAGCAUGUGGUUUAAUUCGAAGCAACGCGAAGAACCUUACCUGCUCUUGACAUCCCGCUGACCGGACGGUAAUGCGUCCUUCCCUUCGGGGCAGCGGAGACAGGUGGUGCAUGGUUGUCGUCAGCUCGUGUCGUGAGAUGUUGGGUUAAGUCCCGCAACGAGCGCAACCCUUACUGUUAGUUGCUACGCAAGAGCACUCUAGCAGGACUGCCGUUGACAAAACGGAGGAAGGUGGGGAUGACGUCAAAUCAUCAUGCCCCUUAUGACCUGGGCCUCACACGUACUACAAUGGCUGUCAACAGAGGGAAGCAAAGCCGCGAGGUGGAGCAAACCCCUAAAAGCAGUCUUAGUUCGGAUUGUAGGCUGCAACCCGCCUACAUGAAGUCGGAAUUGCUAGUAAUCGCAGAUCAGCAUGCUGCGGUGAAUACGUUCCCGGGCCUUGUACACACCGCCCGUCACGCCAUGGGAGUCGGUAACACCCGAAGCCUGUAGUCUAACCGCAAGGAGGACGCAGUCGAAGGUGGGAUUGAUGACUGGGGUG